UGCAGGUGAGCAGCGAUGAGGAGAGGGAGCACUGGAUCAAACUACUAAAGGAAUCGGCUAAUCAGAAACAAGAGCCCAGCCCACCUGAGGACAGCGAUCCCCUCAGUGGUCUCCAAACUCGGAGGUUCCCGUCACCGAACACUUAUGAGACCCAACUCUACUCCAACAGCUCAGUCGUACAGCACCAGCUCCACAAAGACUCCAGCCAAGACUCAGGGACCUACAGCAACACCAGCCUCAACCAGCGGAGGGGUGGGGAGCAGCGGUGUGUUCAGAGACUGGAGCUCGCUGGGAAACCUCACGCCUCAAAUGGAGUGAAGCUGCGGGCAGAGUCAGAGAUCAACCUGGCAACGAAAAACAAACGCAUCUCCUUCAGACAGUCGCUGGCCAUCUGCACCGAGCGCGCCCAGUCCAAUUUCCUGACACCUCUGCUGAGGAGGACAGCUUCAGCCAAACUGUCUCUGAAACGAGCUCCGUCAAUGCUAUUCCUGGAGACCGGGCGCGUUUCCAACAGGAAGAAGGUACUUUAACGCUACACUGUGGAACUCUUAAUAAAACUACACACUUUACAAACACUGCCCC
ensembl:lncRNA